GACAGAGGGUGCAAACGUUGUUCGGAAUUACUGGGCGUAAAGCGCGUGUAGGCGGCUUGGCAAGUCGGGUGCGAAAGCCCUGGGCUUAACCUAGGAAGUGCACACGAAACUGCCGAGCUUGAAUUCGGGAGAGGGAUGCAGAAUUCCAGGUGUAGCGGUGAAAUGCGUAGAUAUCUGGAGGAAUACCGGUGGCGAAGGCGGCAUCCUGGACCGACAUUGACGCUGAGGAGCGAAAGCUAGGGGAGCAAACGGG
rnacentral:rRNA from 1 species